UUCAUACUCCCUCCGUUCGGAAUUACUUGUCACAGAAAUGGAUGUAUCUAGACGUAUUUUAGUUCUAAAUACAUCCAUUUCCGAGACAAGUAAUUCCGAACGGAGGGAGUACUUC
rnacentral:pre_miRNA from 1 species